ensembl:lncRNA
UUGAGUAGUUGUGACAAAGCCUCUAAUAUAUCCGAUGCCACUCUUUGCAGUCAUUGAGAAAUUUGGUCUGCACCCUGACACUGAGGUCAUUUACAAAGAUUCCUCGAUAACAGAAGUGGACCCGGACAUCUUUUCCAAACUGUUGAAUAAAGGAGAGGAUUUGUUGAAGGUCUCUGUGAAUGAUGGUAAAUAAUUGUAAACUGAUGCACAGACAUGUUAUAUUUCAGAUAUCUGAAAGUGUAAGUUUUAAUGAUCAACAUUACAGUUUUUGUUCAUAGGGGAGAUUUAAGCAAAAAUAUAUAUAUUUAAAGAUUUUGAGUGUGCUCAAAAGGAUCCUACCCUUCAGAUGCCUCCACAAUCGUGCUGAAUGAAAGACAGGGUGAGACCACAAGCAAGAAAAUAGGAAAAGAUGACCGAAGGAGCAAAGAAGCAGACAAAAAUGUAAGCAUUUAUUAGUUUUAUUAGGCAAAUUGAGUGUUUGUUUAUUGUAAAAUUGGUUAUGCAAGUUCUAAGAUAAACUUUUCUAUUAGUCUUGAUUCUGAUUAGCACUUAAUCAAAUGGCUGUUUGACGUCAGGCUGGGUUGCUGAGUGAAUCUCUUUCAGGUAUGCAUGCUUUUUUGUUCCAUAUGCACAGAUGGUCACUGAAGUUUUUCAAACAAAGCCGAGGGGGAGAAAAUCUUUCAAAAAACAAAGUCACUGUCAGAUGGAACCAGACGACAGCUUGUGAAUAUGUUGGUUGCUGAUAUGGUGGAGGUGCAUGGACGGAGGCUGUACGAAUCAACUAUGCCCAAGGAACACUUCUAUGAUCCAGUGUCGGGUUCCGGGUACCUUUCUUGGCGUCUUAAGACUGGGCAACAAAGUUUAUUUGAUCAGUCUAGGUCUUGGUUGGCAGAUGAACAGUGCAAUGCUGGUCCAAAAGCUGUAAGAGGCUCAGCUAUUGCCGUAAAACAACUGACUGAUAAUGAGUGUGAAGAAGCAAUAGCUGUGAUGAAUCAUUCCUCUGAUGAAGCACUAGUUUCAGAGAAAAUGAAGGCCACUUUUGAACACAGGCAGAAACUGGUCCAUGAUCCUGACAAGUCUGUGGAGGUCCUGGACACGUUCCCCAGAUUUCUUGACAUAACUGGCCUUAUUGAGCAGGACUUCCUGAAGCUUUUCAGAGAGGAGACAUCAGGGAAGUUCUUAGCCAGAUGGCCAACGUUUUUCAGACCACACAUCAUCAAAGAUGCCAAAACGCUAGGACCCUGUCUCCAUGUUGAGGCGCUAAUACCGUCAAGGUGAUGGUGUCUGGAACCUUCUCAGCCCUACCUGCUUUGCGUCAGCACACAAAAAAACUAUAUCCAGAAGUACAAUGUCAUCAUUGACAAAAAGGAUAUUUCAUGCCACAUCAAUUGCAGCAUUUGAUGAGCUAUUUAAAACACAUUUUGUAUUCGCAACAUCAUACAACAAGGCACAGGAUGGGUUUUACACCUUUAUCCAAACAGCAGUUUACAGCAUUGAUGUUGGUAAAACAAAAGAAAAGGCAAGAGUGAGGGAACUAAGGGCCAGGUAUCUUAAUCUGACAAACUAAUACAUUGUUCUUCAGUCAUGUUUACAUGUUUUGUUUGUAAAACCUUACACCAGAAUUCAUAUUCAAUUUGUCGCCAUCUAAAGUUUAAUCCUGGCUUGUAUCCAGGAAGAUUUUUGCGUUUGCAUUGUGCGGGGGCUAAAUGUACAUCAGCCUUUGGAAUUUACUCUGGAUUUAAAAAGCAUUUACUUCAAAUUCAUGGACAAUUCAUGGUUUCUUCCAAUUCUUCUGAGAUGGAUGGCAGUAGAAACGAGAGUGAGGGUCUCUCAGAGUCACCCAGUGGAUGUGAUAGUCGUGCUUCUGUUCCAUAUAAUUUUGUCAAUGAUUUGGCAUUGAGUGAUGAGGAUGAAAGUGGAGAAUUGAUAAAGAAGAGCUCCUCUGGAACUGAGAUUAACUUGAAUAUGUGUGCAUCUGCACAGUUACAAGCUUCAAAAGUAGCUCAUAGCACAGUUCAGGCCAUAGUUGAGUCAAUUGAGGAAUUGGUUGCUGACAUGCAAACCAAAACGAAGGAGCCCGUUUUCAGCAACAUUCCAUCAGAGCUUCAUUAGACAGUUGACAGAGCUUUCUGUUCCAUUGAAAAUCCAUUGACAAAAUGUAAUAUAGAAGCUAAACGGCAAAGAUACUAUGAAGACAAGUGGCAUAUUGUCCAACCUAUAGAAUAUGUUCUAGGUGUUAGAUUUGAUGCAAGAUCUGACAGAACAACUGGGAUAUACAGCCAGAUUCCUGUUACAUAUAAGUUCAUUUAUGUGCCUGUCCUCAAAACUAUUCAGUCAAUGUUCAGAAACAAAGAUAUCUUGGAGGGCCCGUUGCUGUCCCUGUCCAGAAUCCUCCUGGUUGUGUUGCAGAUUGAGAUGAUGCAUGACGAUUUCAGCUGCCACUGUGCUGACACCUCCCCUGUGUUGUCCCUUUCCUUGUUCAUCUGGUCAUGCUUCCGACCUGGUCUAAGUUUAAAUAGACUCUAGACUCAGCCCACAUGCAUUUAUUAAUUAUUACAAUUGUAAUCUUAAUAUGUUCACCUGGCACAGCUAGAAGAGGACUGGUCACCCCUCUGAGCUUUUCCUAGCCACUGAAAUUCAACACUACUGUUGUUUUCUCCUUGGGGUUUAAGGCCAGGUGCUUUAUAAAAGCCUUUUGUGUAACAUCUGCUGAUGUUAAGAGGCCAUUACAGUAGUCAACCCUACUAGAGAUAAAAGCAUGGAUGAGCUUCUCUUGGUUAUUUUUUAGAUGAUAGAAUGCUGUUUUGGUUUUAAGGGCCUGAGAAUCCAG